rfam:Salmo salar isolate Sally breed double haploid chromosome ssa03, whole genome shotgun sequence.
UGCAAAUUAUGUUUUUCUCACGAUGGUCUUCGUAGCCUGUGAGGCUCUGACGACACUGCCUAAUGGCAACACUGAUGCAGUGCA